rnacentral:lncRNA from 1 species
GCAUUCCUGGAGCGAUCGCCUUUUAUUGAAGCUUUUAAUUAAAGGGGCCAGUUGGCUAGCCCCUGAAACAACCGCCAAAAUUCCCCAAAAGAGAAAAAUAAACGCUGUAGCCUUCGGAAACGGUUGUUUCGGCUCCUGUUCUGUGGGCGGCUGAGGACCGCGGGCUGCCCUGCUCCGAGAACAGCUGUGUCUGUAGUUCGCAAUUCCUUUAAUCUUAACAUGGAUAAGCAGCAGUAACAAUGGGUGCUUAAGUUCCCAAUAUCACUGGUCAUGCAGGAGUUUCGCUGCAUCUUGCUCCCCACAAAAGAAACAUUAGAACGUGGGGGCUUUCUACAAAACAGUUUGUAAGGGGAUGAGACAGCUUGUCUGAAUACACCUUUCAAGAAGCCACCGUGAGAGAGAACUAGGGAGAACAUGUAUGGUGACAGAAGAGGUUAUGUAGGUGCCCAGACAGCCAUUCUAUAGAUGAAGUUGAAUGUAUGGUGUCCCACAGAUGAAGACACUUUGAAGCAAUCUUUUCAUGUGUGUUACGAGAAGGCAAGGAAGGUAUCUACGAAAAACCAACUUCUCUCACAACAUAAUCUAAAGAGACUUUACUCCCAUAGCACUCUGCAAGUCUUCAGUGAGACUGUAUACUGAAGCUAGCUUGCCACAGAAGAGUGACACCUUUGGGCUAGAUCAAUUGACUGCAGAGGCUUCUGGGGGCAUAUGCACAUAGUAGUGAUUGUCAUACUGUGAGCAGAGUACAGGCGCUUUUAGAGAAGCAAUUAGAUUGACAGAAGGUGUCAUAUUCCACACAAUAGAUGGGAGAAGUCCAGGCAGGUAAUCCAAGCAUCAUUUGGAAUCUCUGCUCCCAGACAUGUGGACAUAUGGACCUGCAUUACUGCAUUUGUUCACCGGGAAAUCCUGAAAUAUGUAUAAACUGAUGAUGGUAGAUGACAGGUGCUUCAAAAAUUCUAAUGAAAUCGAUGUAGGGUAACAGAUUCUAUUUCAUUACCAAAAGGAAUAUAAAUGAAAAAGAAUGCCACAUGGAGUCUAUGUCUUGUCUUAUGCAUUAGGUAAUCAACUAGGUAAUCUCUUUCCUAUGAAAUGAUUUACACAGACUUUUCCUUUUUAGCUAUGUAUUUUUUACAUUCUAGUUUUCUUUUAAAAAAUUCUCUUCUCAGUACAAAAGAGGUAACUAAAUUAUUAGUCCUUUUCGAUUCUGUGAGACUAUGUAUCUCAUCUUAAGGCUAUUUAAUUAAAAUUCAACAUUUUUCUCCAAAGAAUUAGUAUCUCAUAUUAAAAGCUUCAAACCAGCCAA